ensembl:lncRNA
CUGUUUUCACCACAGUGUGCCGUUUCUACAAUAGCAAACAGGCAAAGUUAAACAGCACUAUUAAUUAGGCUAAUAUGAAUAUGAUUACUGCCAGAAAAAUUCAAUUCUCUCAGCCCUAAUCACAACUGGAUAGCUUGUAAAAAUUAUUUUGUUAGGCCCUGGUGCAAACAGCGCGGCCUUUUCCAAACAUUUGAGAACUAUUUGUUUUGCGUGGCGAUAACCAUUGAGAGGGAACGGCUGACUCAGGUGGCAGCCCCGUCUCCAGUUGUGAAGCAGAUGUUGCCCUCUGUUUUACCCAUCUCUGCACCCUUUAUCCCAUGCCAAGUCCUAAGAACCAAUGGUGCCAUGCUAAGUGAGGGACACAAUGGAUAUGUAAAAAUAGCAGAAUACAGGUUCUUGGCACUGAGCAGGAAACCACUGAGCAAAACCCUGCCUGAAAAACCAAAACCCAAAUGCUGCUCUGAAACGCAUACAACUGGAGGCUGCAGUAAACUUGAUGGAAAGGCAGAGGGCAGUAGUGCACUAAAGCAGCCCCCCAACAAGCCCUCUCUCCCACACUCUCUCUUUCACAAUGGAAGCGCACCCGGGGGGAAGUGUUGCUUUUUUAGGUCUAUAAGCCCGUAUCCCUUAAUCCCUCACCAUGAUUGACAAUCAUGAU